ACAUCAAAGGAGAGUUUCUUUAUUUCCUUCUCCCUUUUCUCUGCAAAGCUCCUCCUCAACCCCCAAAAUCUGCCCCUUUCACUGGCACGUCCGACUCCGGUUGGGCCCGCCAGGCAUCACCGCCACCACCACUUGGUAUCUAAAGCCUCCUUCUCUCUUUCCGGUGCAUGAAGAAAAGGCGGCACCAACAUUGCGUCCAGGCAUGCUCGAAACUAAGAUCAAUUUCAUGGUCGAAGCUCCCCCCAUCAUUGGCUCGAUACCUUUGUGACGUCCUUAACGUUUUUGCCCUCGGUUAUGCAGUGGAAAUGAUGUUCAAUGGUGUCUUGAGGUCGCAGCAGCCCCCUUUUCCUUCCCGUCUUCGGUAAGGUGCAAGUGGUGGCGAUAUCCCUCCAUCGAUGAUUUUGCAGCGACCUUUUCCCUCAGCGGUGGCCCACAUGGUGGUGUGAGAUGGUGUAUGUAGUAGAGCCCUCACUGAUUGACUGCGGCUGGCCUCGACCAGCAGCCUUGAUUUGCUCUGUCCCUCCUCAUUCUAGUGGUGGCAGCAUCGGUGCAAGGGCCGUGCACUCUUCCGACACCAAUCAGCUUCUCCACCUUUCCCGCCGGUGAUGGAUUCUUUUCUCAGCCUCCCCAUCUCCUCCCCGCGAUAGUAUCCUCACCUACCUCGACACACGAUCUCGCUAUUAGGCUGUUAGUCCUACCUCUCGCCUGCAAUGACCGGCCUAUUGUGGCUCGCGCUUUUUUUUUGUUGGUUUUUUUGCAAGUCUUGCCUCCUAUUGUCAUCGCUGGUAUGAACCGAUCAAGGAGGCUUUGGCUCCAUUGGUUUGAUUACUUAGGGCACUGUUAUGAUCGUUGGUAUGAACUGAUCAAGGAGGCAUUGAGCUCCUUGGUUUGAUUACUUAGGGCUUGAGUUGUUAAUGAUUAUGUUGAUUGAUUAUGUCUGUUGGUAGUGAUUGUUGAUAUGA